rnacentral:rRNA from 1 species
CACGUAGGGCGCAAGCGUUGUCCGGAAUUAUUGGGCGUAAAGAGCUCGUAGGCGGUCUGUUACGUCUGCUGUGAAAACCCGGGGCUUAACCCUGGGCUUGCAGUGGAUACGGGCAGACUAGAGGCAGGUAGGGGAGAAUGGAAUUCCCGGUGUAGCGGUGAAAUGCGCAGAUAUCGGGAGGAACACCGGUGGCGAAGGCGGGUCUCUGGACAGUUCCUGACGCUGAGGCACGAAGGUCAGGGGAGCAAACGGG